ACCUAGAUAGUUUUUGAUUACUUUUAACUUUAGGGUAAAAUUAGAAGUUGUUUGUAUUUGUGUCUUGUGUUUUUAGAUUUGUUGAACGACCCAGAUUAGUACCUGGUUAGACAAAAGUUAAAAGAGCAGGAGUAAAGUUAUAUUUAAACUGUAAGAAUAUUGGCAGGUCUUUAAAUUAUCUUUGGAGGCUGAGUAGUAAUUGAGAGCCCUCAUUAUCAGCCUGUGUUGUAGGCUCAUGUAUGAUCGUUUAUUUUAUCCCUAAAGGGUUGUAAUGUUAGUUUGGUUGCUGUAAAAAUAGAUAUAUACUUGGUUGAUGCACAGGAUUUAAUUUGGCCUACAAUAGUUUAUGGUGUGUGGAUUUUAAUCGUAGUGGUUAUUUGAAAUUGUAAAAGACAGUAAAUUCUUUUAUGGA
rnacentral:rRNA from 1 species